GAUGGGUCACUGAUGAGGGAAGCAGCUUUCCCAAAGGCUGGGUAUCAGUUACAGCCAGGUGGUAGAUACUAUUUCAUACUUGUAAGUAACUUAGAACCUCUGGCCUGCUUGGUGAUCCUUUAAAAAGUAUAUCGGGGAGGGCAUGACUAAACCGCAAGUGCAUAGGAAGCACUCAGACCUAAUGAACCUUCAGCUUAUUUGCCAACCUCACCAAAUGGCUUUUCAACAACUUCUUUGCUUUAUGUUUUUCCAAAAAGGCAUCUAGGAUUUGGCCCUAGAGAGAACCUUCUUUGCCAUGUGAAGGAGAAACAGAAUGAUCUGGGAACGAGGACAUGAAAUAAGUCAGCCUGCCAGGAGGACAGUGCCAUUAGCCUGUAGAGGCUAUAAAACAUCUGGUAUUUGGGAUGUAGAAUUCAGGAAAUAGAAGAUUGUAGAGAGAGCCUGUGGGCUUCAUUCACCUUUCACACCAAUUUUACAUGGCUGGGUUUGACUCCAUUGCUUGCAUUGGAAUGACUCCUACUUUACACCAGUGUAACAGAGAGAAGAAUGAAGCCUAGGACUGCACAGGGGUCUGAGCGAGUUCUGAAGACACUGGGAUGUGGAAUCAAAUGGAUGUUGUCGUCCUGACUGCGCUUCUGGGAGAACUUAUGAACUGAUCCUUUUCUGACACCCAAGGUGUUGGUGUUAGCACUGUACAUAUGUCAGCCACAGAGUUUAGAACACAUGAAGUCUCCUCCGAAAGUCCAAUACCUUGUUCUGGAACUCAGUUUUCAGCUGAUUGUUUGCUUUCAUCUCUUUUCCCAAUGACUAGGACUGUAUUCCUUUUGGAUAUUGGCUUUAAUUAAGAAGGGAUCUGGGUAUAUUACAAAAUAUUUCUAAACUUAGAACAAAUAUAUAUAUAUGUAGCCAAUCUACAUAAAAGUAGUACUUUGCGUCACAAGAAAUCAAUGGGAUUCUUCCCAGAAUAAAGUAUUACUGAAUGUGAGUAAAAUGGUAAAAUCAGGCCCUAUAGCAGUAUUGAGUCUAGCUAGUUCAGCCAGUAGACUUGCAUGCUAACUUGUUUAUAUGCCAUUAGUCGGGAUGGCUCUAGGAAUUCCACCGCCCCAA